GUCAUGGGAUUUCUAGGGCUAGUUUGGGCCCUAGGAUGAAAGACUGUCAGCCUUUCGGGUCUUGAGGUUCAGAGAUUUUGGGCCUUGAGGAGCUAACUUAUAUUUGGACUAGGAUUGAGUCUAAGAUUAUGAGAUUCGGUCAAGUCAUAGGUAUAUAUGGGCUUGGGUGAGCAUAAUCUUAUAUUGAGUUAGCUAGGGGAGUUUUUGGGUUGGGUUACAUUGACCAUGUAUAUAAAGAUACAUUGUAUUCUGACUCGAUGCAAUGGAAUGAAUACUAAAUCAUUUUCUCCCUAACCUUCUCUCUCUUCUUUCCUCUCUCUCUGAUCUUUUCCACAUCCUAGCAUCAAGAAACCCUAGGGUUUCUUGGCCGCCCACCCCAAAAAGAAAAGAAAGGAGGCGCUAGGGUUCCUAGCGCCCUCCUUAUGCACGCCACCCUUUUUUUGUGCCCCCUCUUGGCCGCCCAAGAGGAGUUCCAUACCUCAUCUUUUGAUUUUUGGAGGCUUCAUCAAGAGUACUUCCAGGUCCCAAAAGAUGGAUUUUAGAUAUAGUGGAGAAGGGG
rnacentral:lncRNA from 1 species